GCUACACAUGCAGUCGAACGAAGUAGCAAUACUUAGUGGCAGACGGGUGAGUAACAUGUGGGUAUCUACCCUUUGGCCUGGAAUAACACGAGGAAACUUGUGCUAAUACCGGAUAAGUCUUUACGGAGAAAGCUUUAUGCACCAUUGGAUGAGCCCGCACUUGAUUAGUUUGUUGGUAGGGUAAUGGCCUACCAAGACUAUGAUCAAUAGCUGAUUUGAGAGGAUGAUCAGCCACAUUGGGACUGAGACACGGCCCAAACUCCUACGGGAGGCAGCAGUGGGGAAUCUUGCACAAUGGAGGAAACUCUGAUGCAGCGAUGCCGCGUGAGUGAAGAAGGCCCUUGGGUUGUAAAGCUCUUUCGUCGGGGAAGAAAAUGACUGUACCCGAAUAAGAAGGUCCGGCUAACUUCGUGCCAGCAGCCGCGGUAAUACGAAGGGACCUAGCGUAGUUCGGAAUUACUGGGCUUAAAGAGUUCGUAGGUGGUUGAAAAAGUUGGUGGUGAAAUCCCAGAGCUUAACUCUGGAACUGCCAUCAAAACUUUUCAGCUAGAGUAUGAUAGAGGAAAGCAGAAUUUCUAGUGUAGAGGUGAAAUUCGUAGAUAUUAGAAAGAAUACCAAUUGCGAAGGCAGCUUUCUGGAUCAUUACUGACACUGAGGAACGAAAGCAUGGGUAGCGAAGAGGAUUAGAUACCCUCGUAGUCCAUGCCGUAAACGAUGUGUGUUAGACGUUGGAAAUUUAUUUUCAGUGUCGCAGCGAAAGCGAUAAACACACCGCCUGGGGAGUACGACCGCAAGGUUAAAACUCAAAUGAAUUGACGGGGACCCGCACAAGUAGUGGAGCAUGUGGUUUAAUUCGAAGAUACGCGCAGAACCUUACCAACACUUGACAUGUUCGUCGCGACUCUAGAGAUUGGAGUUUUCGGUUCGGCCGGACGAAACACAGGUGCUGCAUGGAUGUCGUCAGCUCGUGUCGUGAGAUGUUGGGUUAAGUCCCGCAACGAGCGCA
rnacentral:rRNA from 1 species